ACCUUUGACCUUGUGACCCUAAAAUCAAUAGGGGUCUUCUACCUUAUAUGGACAAUCAUCCUAUGAAGUUUGAAUAUGUGGGUCAAAUGGAACUUAAGUUAUGCUCCGGAAACUGUUUUCAGUAUCAAGGUAAUAGUGACCUUGACCUUUGACCUUUUGACCCCAAAAUCAAUAGGGGUCUUCUACCCAAUAUGGACAAUCAUCCUAUGAAGUUUGAACAUUGUGGGCCAAAUGGAACUUUUUUUUAAGUUAUGCUCCGGAAACCAAAUUGCUAACAGACAAAUUGCUAACAAACGAAAAUUGUUUUCAGUAUCAAGGUAAUAGUGACCUUGACCUUUGACCUUUUGACCCCAAAAUCAAUAGGGGUCUUCUACCCAAUAUGGACAAUCAUCCUAUGAAGUUUGAUAAUUGUGGGUCAAAUGGAACUUAAGUUAUGCUCCGGAAAUUGUUUUCAGUUUUAAGGUAAUAGUGACCUUGACCUUUGACCUUUUGAUCCCAAAAUCAAUAGGGGUUUUCUACCCAAUAUGGACAAUCAUCCUAUGAAGUUUGAACAUUGUGGGCCAGAUGGAACUUAAGUUAUGCUCCGGAAACCAAAUUGCUAACGGACAAAUUGCUAACGGACGGAAACUGUUUUCAGUAUCAAGGUAAUAGUGACCUUGACCUUUGACCUUUUGACCCCAAAAUCAAUAGGGGUCAUCUACCCAAUAUGGAAAAUCAUCCUAUGAAGUUUGAACAUUGGGGGCCAAAUGGAACUUAAGUUAUGCUCCGGAAACCAAAUUGCUAACGGACAAAUUGCUAACGGACGGACGGACGCCAGGGGGUAUAACAUAAUAUGCCCUUUCGGGCAUAUAAAAAG